UGUAGAACAAGAUGGUGUACAGGAGACCUUUAUUUUUACAGCUGACUCGUCUUGAAGCGCAAAUUAUUGUUGCACGGUGUUCUAAACUGCGUCUUAACACAAUUCCCUACAAUCGUUCAAACGAAAUCUUUGAAUGUUGGGAUGAGUGUUUCCCGAUCAGGCGGCAUGAAAUCAUGUCUGAAACUUUUAAAAUGAGCGAAUACAAUAUAUUGUAUAACUUCGAAAAAGCCAACGAGUUGAUUUCGAAGGAUUUUGUACAAGUGAAUGGGCAAUUUCUGCAUAUUUCUUCGAAAUUGCCAAGUUUCCUGAAAAAAUUUUCUAAAAUCUUCCAAGGUUAUCGUAAAAAUUUUCGCGAUGACCAGAAGCUGACGGAUGAGAUUGUUAAAACCUUUAAUAAUGAAACGGCAAUAAACGAUCGAUCUAUAUUUCUCGCCUUCUAUUCGCUCCCGUUAAUUCUACGAGAAAAUUUCGUUAGCAAUGGCGAGAAACGGUUCCGUCCAUCUCUAUUUAUGACUCGAGAAGCGUUUAUCACGAUGAUCCCGACGGAAGCAACAUUGGCCGAGACGAGAAAAAAACGGAAAGAAAAUGCUCUUUCUAGGAAAGUAACGAUCCAACCUUACAUUAUAGCGGUAGGCUCCGUCGCUUGUAUCACAAGGUACUUCGUUGUUUUUGACGAGUUGCUCAUCUCUUGUGCAACUUGUAUGGAAGCUAUUGAUCUGCACUAUAAAAUGCACGAUGCGUUUAAUCUACAAUACGCGGUGGAUUGUCGAAGUGUACUAAUCUUCAUCCAAAAAUUUUUCUAUGCGCUUAAUUAUGACGGUGAUUAUCCAGUGCCACAAGUUGAAACAUUAAUCGCUGAUUUCGAGAAAUGAUAUAAAGAAUGUAUCCCAGAACCAAACUAAUAAACGCAAAUGAACACA
rnacentral:lncRNA from 1 species